GCUUGCAUCAUGAUUUACAUUUGAGUGAGUGGCGAACUGGUGAGUAACACGUGGGAAAUCUGCCCAGAAGCAGGGGAUAACACUUGGAAACAGGUGCUAAUACCGUAUAACAACAAAAUCCGCAUGGAUUUUGUUUGAAAGGUGGCUUCGGCUAUCACUUCUGGAUGAUCCCGCGGCGUAUUAGUUAGUUGGUGAGGUAAAGGCCCACCAAGACGAUGAUACGUAGCCGACCUGAGAGGGUAAUCGGCCACAUUGGGACUGAGACACGGCCCAAACUCCUACGGGAGGCAGCAGUAGGGAAUCUUCCACAAUGGACGAAAGUCUGAUGGAGCAAUGCCGCGUGAGUGAAGAAGGGUUUCGGCUCGUAAAACUCUGUUGUUAAAAGAAGAACACCUUUGAGAGUAACUGUUCAAGGGUUGACGGUAUUUAACCAGAAAGCCACGGCUAACUACGUGC
rnacentral:rRNA from 1 species